AGAAUGGGCCAGAGCAUUAGAACAAAUUGCUAGGGUUAGUUUGAGGUCAAGCAGAGCAAUUCAGUUAGAAGUAGAGAG